GCUUGAGUGUGUGGGAAGACUGGAAGGGAGGUGCUGGAGAAGGAAAGGGAGAUGGAACACAGCAAGGGAAGGCCACCAUCUUAAGCUAAAAGGACCGAGAGACGGAGAGGAAGGGGAGGGGGCUAAGAAAGAGAAUGACCGGGAGGAGGGUCUCUGGCUGCUUGGCAACUUCGGAGCCUCAUUCUGUAUGGGCUUAUGCCAGCCAGAUACUCAAUACCAUGGCAGUGCAGACGCUGUCAAGUGGAGGUCCCACUGAGAUUGGGAAAGAGAGGAGCUCCUGACCGGAUCAGUCCAAGAAAAGCCAGUGGGCGAAAGGAAGAGGAACGUAUUGGGGAAUAUAUGGUGCAAGAAACAAAGUGAAAGUAAAAACUGCAACAAACAAAUUUGGAAAGUCUCUAAUGAACAGGAAGAAGACAAGAAAUUGAAUUGUUCUAGCAGAUUGUGUGUACUGAAAAAUUGCUGAGACUGUGAAGAUUCUGCUGUAGUUGUGAGAAUACCUGGAAUUGUGCCUAUGCCUCUAAAAGAUGAAGGAAGACUUCCUGUCACCUUGUAUCUCCAUAAGAGAGACUUUGGCGUUACUAUAGCACCUGAUUAAAGAAUGGGCUGGAUCCAUGGCACAAGGGCUUUUGGCUUGUGGUACUGUGACAGUGUUUCAGAACAUUCAUGAAAGGUUAAGGCAUUCUUUACUAAUGAUACCCCUCCCCUUCUUUGAGAUAGG